UACGUAGGGGGCAAGCGUUGUCCGGAAUCAUUGGGCGUAAAGCGCGCGUAGGCGGCCCGGUAAGUCCGUUGUGAAAGUCAAAGGCUCAACCUUUGAACGCCGAUGGAUACUGUCGGGCUAGAGUGCGGAAGAGGCGAGUGGAAUUCCUGGUGUAGCGGUGAAAUGCGCAGAUAUCAGGAGGAACACCGAUUGCGAAGGCAGCUCGCUGGGACGUAACUGACGCUGAGACGCGAAAGCGUGGGGAGCAAACAGG
rnacentral:rRNA from 1 species